CCUACGGGUGGCAGCAGUGAGGAAUAUUGGGCAAUGGGGGCAACCCUGACCCAGCCAUGCCGCGUGAGUGAAGAAGGUCUUCGGAUUGUAAAGCUCUUUCGGACGUGACGAUGCUGACGGUAGCGUCUAAAGAAGCACCGGCGAACUACGUGCCAGCCGCCGCGGUAAUACGAAGGGUGCGAGCGUUGUCCGGAUUUACUGGGGGUAGAGGGAGUGUAGGCGGAUAUGUAAGAUAGCGGUGAAAUGCCGGGGCUCAACCCCGGAACUGCCAUUAUGACGAUGUAUCUAGAGUAAUGGAGAGGAUAGCGGAAUACCCAGUGUAGAGGUGAAAUUCGUAGAUAUUAGGUAGAACACCGGUGGCGAAGGCGGCUAUCUGGCCAUUUACUGACGCUGAGGCUCGAAGGCAUGGGGAUCAAACAGGAUUAGAUACCCUUGUAGUC
rnacentral:rRNA from 1 species